GACAGAGGAUGCAAGCGUUAUCCGGAAUGAUUGGGCGUAAAGCGUCUGUAGGUGGCUUUUUAAGUCCGCCGUCAAAUCCCAGGGCUCAACCCUGGACAGGCGGUGGGAACUAGCAAGCUUGAGUACGGUAGGGGCAAAGGGAAUUCCCGGUGUAGCGGUGAAAUGCGUAGAUAUCGGGAAGAACACCAAAGGCGAAAGCACUUUGCUGGGCCGAAACUGACACUGAUAGACGAAAGCUAGGGGAGCAAAUGGG
rnacentral:rRNA from 1 species